GACGAACGCUGGCGGCGUGCUUAACACAUGCAAGUCGAGGGCGUGGAGCAAUCCACGACCGGCGAACGGGUGCGUAACACGUGAGUGACCUGCCCGCUUGUGGGGAUGAGCGGCCCGAACCAGGCCGGGUAAUCCCGCAUACGUUUUCGGAGCUGCAUGGUUCUGAAAGGAAAGCCGAAAGGCGCAGGCGGAGGGCUCGCGGCCUAUCAGGUAGUUGGUGAGGUAAUGGCUCACCAAGCCGAUGACGGGUAGCUGGUCUGAGAGGAUGGCCAGCCACAUUGGGACUGAGAUACGGCCCAGACUCCUACGGGAGGCAGCAGUGGGAAUCUUGCGCAAUGGCCGAAGGCUGACGCAGCGACGCCGCGUGGAGGAGGAAGCCCUUCGGGGUGUAAACUCCUGUCACCUGGGACGAACCUCGGGUUUUGCGACCCGACUGACGGUACCAGGGGAGGAAGCACCGGCUAACUCUGUGCCAGCAGCCGCGGUAAUACAGAGGGUGCGAGCGUUGUCCGGAAUCACUGGGCGUAAGGGCGCGUAGGCGGUUUCUCGCGCGUGCGGUGAAAGCCCGGGGCUCAACUCCGGGUCGGCCGUGCGAACGGAGGAGCUGGAGUCUGGUAGAGGUCGAUGGAAUUCCGGGUGUAGCGGUGGAAGUGCGUAGAGAUCCGGAAGAACACCGGUGGCGAAGGCGGUCGACUGGGCCAGUACUGACGCUGAGGCGCGACA
rnacentral:rRNA from 1 species